UUACUCUGAUCUCAAAUAAAAGUUGCUGUCCCAUCAGCAGUUCACCUAAUGAGUGUUGAGACUUUGGGUCUGAGUGA